rnacentral:rRNA from 1 species
GACGAACGCUGGCGGCGCGCCUAACACAUGCAAGUCGAGCGAGAACCGGUCCUUCGGGGCCGGGGACAGCGGCGAACGGGUGAGUAACACGUGGGUAAUCUGCCCUCGGCACCGGGAUAGCCCGGGGAAACCCGGAUUAAUACCGGAUGGCCUUUCGAGUCCUCGGACUCGAAUGAAAAGGUAGCUUCGGCCUCCGGCCGAGGAUGAGCCCGCGGCCGAUUAGCUUGUUGGUGGGGUAACGGCUCACCAAGGCUCCGAUCGGUAGCUGGUCUGAGAGGACGAUCAGCCACACUGGGACUGAGACACGGCCCAGACUCCUACGGGAGGCAGCAGUGGGGAAUCUUGCGCAAUGGGCGAAAGCCUGACGCAGCGACGCCGUGUGCGGGAAGAAGGCCUUCGGGUUGUAAACCGCUUUCAGGAGGGACGAAGCCACUCGGGUUAAUAGCCCAGAGGGUGACGGUACUUCCAGAAGAAGCCCCGGCUAACUACGUGCCAGCCGCCGCCGUAACAC